CAAAAAUUCAAAUGUAACUUUAAAGAUUUCAACUUUUGUAAAUAUUUGGUUUCGUUUUGAAUUAUAACAAGCAAAAAAGAAGGUUCCAGAUGACUGCAUAAGAAGGUUGAAGUGGUCACAAGCAUGUGAAAUUUCAUUUGGACCAAAUGACCGCAUUUGCGAAGCCCACUUUUUAACAAGUGAUAUAGUGUUUCGGAAUUCGAGGAUGCGUUGAUGCCGACCGCUAUUCCAUUGGCUACUGCGAAAAAUAAUCAUGAAACGAAUGUCAUCAGCUUUCCAGGAGAACGGAAUGAAAUAGAUUUUCAAAUUGGAUAAGAUCGUUUUUCUUUUUUUCCUCGAAAAAAAUAUUGGAUUUUUCAAUAUACUCCUUUUCAGAAUGAAACAAGAUCAAAUGGAAACAGACAACACUUUAUUUGAAUACACAAUUAAAAUGAACGAUUCUGAGACACAGACUGAAAUAGCAAAAUAUAAAAUUAGCGGCUUAAUUAAUUUCAAAUACUACGGCAAACGCAAUUCUAAGAUGUUAUGCUCAUGGAUUAGCGGUAUAUAAAGCUCAUAUUACGGCUGAAUUUAUUCAACUAGUGAACGACUGUCCCUAACACAAAUAUAAAUACUUUUAAAUAUCCUGGAAAAGAACCAUUUAGAAUAUCGUAUGGAUAGAAAAUGGAAAUCCUCGAGGAAAUGACAAAAGCUGCAUCUGUACCUAUGAUUCUGGGAAGGAAAAAUUAAAUCAAGAUUUAUUGGAACAGUUUUUCGGUGCCUUAAGAAGCGGGGGAGACUUGAACGACCACUCAACCCCUUAAGAAAGUUAAAUACCAUAUGAGGAAAUAUAUAUAUUGGCUCGAAACACAGCACUUUUAGAAAGCACUGGAAACGUACUACCUACUCAACCCACUGGAUUACAUCAAGUAAAAUUCCUGGUACCUUGCCAAUAAACCCACUUGUAUGUAAAUAAAUCGAUCAAGAUCAGAACUUUCAAAUUCAAGAAUUAGAAAAUUACGAUUUGGAAGAUAUAGAAAAUGUCGAAUUUCAAUUUAUAGAAAAUUAAUAUUUCAAAGACUUAAGUAGUCUUAAAAAAGAUGUACUGGAAUAUAUAGCAGGGAAUAUUAUUCAGAAGUUCAAUCUUGAUGAGUACUUAAAAGAGUUCUCACCAAGGUUGACCAGAUUUCCAAAGGGUCCCUUAAAAAAAAAACAACCAAAGGCCUUUUUCAUAAAAACUAUUAUCUAAAAUUGAUCAUCAGGAAGAACUUCACAGCCGGAUUACCAAAAUGAGUUCGUUGGUAGUUAAUGUUAUGUCAUCCUUUUUUUAA